AUUACCUGGGGAACUUGUUAAAAUGCAGAUUCUGAUUUGGUAAGUCUGAAGAGUGGCCUCAGACUCUGCAUUUUUACCAAACCUCCAAGUGAUGCCAG
rfam:Pongo abelii chromosome 1.